GGUUUCCGUAGGUGAACCUGCGGAAGGAUCAUUGUUGAAAACUGCACAGUUAAGCCACAUGUUAACUUGUUUUAUAACCUUUCCUUGCUGCUGGUAGGAUGGUUGCCUUGGCUCCCUCCUACCAUGGCAUGAACAAUUUUCGGCGCGGAAUGCGUCAAGGAAAACAUACAUUAACGUAAAGCCUAGCCCUUUGCUGCCGCUUGGUUGUGCUUAAGGGUGUUGGGUCGUUGAGAUUAAUAGCUUUAAUGACUCUCGGCAACGGAUAUCUCGGCUCUUGCAUCGAUGAAGAACGUAGCGAAAUGCGAUACUUGGUGUGAAUUGCAGAAUCCCGUGAACCAUCGAGUCUUUGAACGCAAGUUGCGCCUGAAGCUAUUUGGCUGAGGGCACGUCUUCCUGGGUGUCAUACAUUGCGCCGCCUCCUCACCCUCCUAUUUGGUGGGUGAGCGGGGCAGAGAUUGGUCUCCCAUGUGUCUUGCGCGCAUGGUUGGCUUAAACAUGGAGCUCGACGUAGUGAGCACUGUGAUGAUCGGUGGUUGGAUGGGUCUUGCGCCCAAGAAGCAUCAUGUCAUGAAGUGCCGCGCUGAGUUUGCUAGGAGGAUUUGGAUUGGAUUGAGAAUCUGACGCGAAUAGAUUGCUAUGAUUUGUCAACA
rnacentral:rRNA from 1 species